UACUAGUAGUAGUAGCAGCUGCUGCUGCAGCAACAGCAGGAGCAGCAGCAGAAGCAGCAGUAGCAGGCUAGUAGCAGGCUAGCAGCAGCAGUAGGAGCAGUAGUAGCAGCAGUAGCUAGCAACAGCAGUAGCAGCAGUAGCAGCAGCAGCAGCAGCAGCAGCAGCAGCAGGAGCAGCAGCAGCAGCAGCAGCAGCAGGAGCAGCAGCAGCAGCAGCAGCAGUAGCAGCAGCCGUAGCAGUAGCAGUAGCAGUAGCGGUAGCGGUAGCAGUAGCAGUAGCAGUAGCAGUAGCAGUAGCAGUAGUAGUAGUAGUAGUAGUAAGC
rnacentral:lncRNA from 1 species